UUAAAUUUUAAAGCUUAACUUUAAAAUAGCAUUUAAUACUAUUUUACUUAGAGUUUUUUUCAGAAAAGUAGAAUUUUAUAAGAAGGGGUGAUACCUGUAGAGAUAUAAAGGAAUAUCAUUAGCGAAAGCGACUUUUUAGUAAAAACUGACGCUGAGGGACGAAAGUGUAGGUAGCAAACAGGAUUAGAUACCCUGGUAGUCUACACUGUAAAUUCUGAAUGCUGUAGUUUGAUUUUUAUUUGAUCAGAUUUUUUAAGUUAACACCAUAAGCAUUCCGCCUGAGAAGUACGAUCGCAAGGUUGAAACUCAAAGGAAUUGACGGGGGCCUACUACUAGUGGUG
rnacentral:rRNA from 1 species